GAGACUUAGAACCUGCGUUAAGGUAUACAUCAUAACUCUCCAAACGGAAAUGAAGCUCCUUUAUGUCGAUGUAUUUCUGGCGAUAGAGGCACUGUUACAGACUUACUUACCCACUCUGCGGGACAGAUAAAAAUGUCUGCUAAAUCUCCAGCGAGAGUACUAGAGGAGAAAACAACUUGAACAGAAAUAAGUACCUGCUAACUUGCCAGACUUAACACACCACUAAGAUGCGGUAACACGGGAACUGGGAGUCCUGGAGUGCAAAGAACCAGCUUGUGGAGAAACCUGAUACGUCUUUGACUUCAACUGAAUCUUCGAAUGCUCGUGGGGGCAUCCUCGGUGCUACAACCUUACAAAUCCACUCAGGGAGUCCAUAAUAUCCAGAUCUGGGGCAAUAUCACAAAAGAAGAAAGUUGUCCUGUGCUUCUCUCCAAAAUACUGCCACAGUCAUUUGCCUGGGCUUUAAGAAAAGCCUGUGUGAAUUUGUAAGUUUUUGGAUUUACAGUCAAGUUAUGAAGAUGGUACAAAGAGCUCCUGCGUACUUGUCAGCCUGGAUUAAUUGCCUCAGCCUUACUCCUGACACACACAGCCUUUCAUGGACCCUGGUGAAUUUGUCCAAACCGAGGAGACAACACUGGGAGAGAUGAGCUGAACUCCAGAGCAGGGAUUUCCCAGCUCUAAUGUCCCUCUGCUGUUUCGGUCUAACCCAGGAGACCACAUCCCCUUUAGCUGAGAUCCAUUGUCUGCCUUCCUCUGCUCUACAACAGCAUCUCAUUCCUUUUGUUUUCCAGGACCUCGAGGCUUUAAGGAGUGUGAAGUCUCAGGCAAUGCACUGUCCUUUAAAUUUUUUUUUAUGCUAUUCUUCGGAGCUUU